ensembl:lncRNA
GAAUGAGCUGUCACCCUGAGAUCACUUUUCUCAGCAAGUAGCAGGAGGCACUGAGCUACGUCUGACCUUAAGGCACCCCACGCAAGGAGCUGAUUCUAUGACACGUGUGUGUGUGACUGUGUGUGUGUGCGACUGUGUGUGUGCGCGUGUGACUGUGGCUGCUGGGAGAUUGUAUGCAGAAGCUUCUCCCUGGAACACACCAUAGAUUUCAUGAUGGCCAUCAAGGACACCUUCCGGAAGGCCAAAGGAAUGCGUGUGCGUGCUGCUGGGAAGUGGAUGAUCACCUUUCUGCAGAUGCAUGGAAAGGACAUCUGUCGGGAUCUUGAUCUUUCACCGAUCAUCUACAUCCUGCGCAGCUGCAUGUCGUCCCUGCAGCACAGCACGAACACGCCAUUCCUGUGCCAGGCGGUGGCCAUCCUCACCCGCUGUCACACAGACAUCACAAUUGACAGCUUCUUCCACAGGCGUUGAGCCCACAGACAGGUAUUGGCACUCCUGCCUUUGCUAUUGUUGCUGUCCCAGUUGUAGCUUGCCCCUGCCAGAGGGUUCCUGGGAGGAAGCAGCUUUCCUUUUUUCCUCUCAAAGUCUGUUUGAGUUGAAAAUCACUCAGUCAUGACUUGAGACUCUCCUUUUUCUAGCAAGACAUGGAGGAGAAUAUGAGAGUUUUUUCAUCAGUGGUGCAGCAGGGAGAAGAAAGAAAGGAAAAGCAAAGCAAAGCAAAGCAAAGCAAAGCAAAGCAAAGCAAAGCAAAGCAAAGCAAAUCAAAGCAAGGAAAAGAAGAGAAGAGAAGAGAAGAGAAGAGAAGAGAAGAGAAGAGAAGAGAAGAGAAGAGAAGAGAAGAGAAGAGAAGAGAAGAGAAGAGAAGAGAAGAGAAGAGAAGAGAGAAGAGAGGGGAAGAGAAGAGAAGAGAAGAGAAGAGAAGAGAAGAGAAGAGAAGAGAAGAGAAGAGAAGAGAAGAGAAGAGAAGAGAAGAGAAGAGAAGAGAAGAGAAGAGAAGAGAAGAGAAGAGAAGAGAAGAGAGGGGAAGAGAAGAGAAGAGAAGAGAAGAGAAGAGAAGAGAAGAGAAGAGAAGAGAAGAGAAGAGAAGAGAAGAGAAGAGAAGAGAAGAGAAGAGAAGAGAAGAGAAGAGAAGAGAAGAGAAGAGAAGAGAAGAGAAGAGAAGAGAAGAGAAGAGAAGAGAAGAGAAGAGAAGAGAAGAGAAGAGAGGGGAAGAGAGGGGAAAAAAAGAGAGGGGAAAGGAAAGAAGGAAAGAAAAAGAAGGAAGGG